UACGAAGGGGGCUAGCGUUGCUCAGAAUCACUGGGCGUAAAGCGCACGUAGGCGGAUUGUUAAGUCAGGGGUGAAAUCCUGGAGCUCAACUCCAGAACUGCCUUUGAUACUGGCGAUCUCGAGUCCGGGAGAGGUGAGUGGAAUACCCAGUGUAGAGGUGAAAUUCGUAGAUAUUGGGUGGAACACCGGUGGCGAAAGCGGCUCACUGGCUCGGUUCUGACGCUGAGGCGCGAAAGCUAGGGGAGCGAACAGG
rnacentral:rRNA from 1 species